AGGGGUCAUUGGGUGUUAAUAAUUGUGAGACUAGCUAAGGAGACUGUCUAUGACAUGGAUUCAUUGCCAAACCGCUCUGAUGACCAGGACAUGAGAAAUAUAGUGAAUACUUCAAUCAAAAUGUAUAACUCUCACACAGGCAAACAAUCAUCACGUAAAUCAGCCAUAUGGAAAAAUCUACAUGGCACUCCUCGACAACCAACAAAUGUAGAGUGGCUAUUAAGUGAUGCGUUUCAUGAGAGCUAUAAUUCAUGAUCCAACCCUAGCAUUUGAGAAGAAAAAGGAACCAGUUCAGCAUGUACAAGAACAUAUUGACGAAGUCAGGCUGGAAUGGGCAAAAUUCGUGAACAAGCAAUUACAAAAUUAUAAGUGAUAUAAUUUAUUUUAACAAUGUUU